rnacentral:rRNA from 1 species
CCUACGGGUGGCUGCAGUGGGGAAUAUUGGACAAUGGGCGAAAGCCUGAUCCAGCCAUGCCGCGUGUGUGAAGAAGGCCUUCGGGUUGUAAAGCACUUUCAGUGGGGAAGAAAGCCUUGGGGCUAAUACCCUCGAGGAAGGACAUCACCCACAGAAGAAGCACCGGCUAACUCCGUGCCAGCAGCCGCGGUAAUACGGAGGGUGCAAGCGUUAAUCGGAAUUACUGGGCGUAAAGCGCGCGUAGGCGGUCUGAUAAGCCGGUUGUGAAAGCCCCGGGCUCAACCUGGGAACGGCAUCCGGAACUGUCAGGCUAGAGUGCAGGAGAGGAAGGUAGAAUUCCCGGUGUAGCGGUGAAAUGCGUAGAGAUCGGGAGGAAUACCAGUGGCGAAGGCGGCCUUCUGGACUGACACUGACGCUGAGGUGCGAAAGCGUGGGUAGCAAACAGGAUUAGAUACCCGAGUAGUC